AGCAGGGUAGAGAAGUCCGGGCGCGCUAGGCUCAUAACCUUGAGGUCAGUGGUUCAAAUCCACUCCCUGCAA
rnacentral:tRNA from 1 species